UAGUUCUAUGCUCUGUGCACUCGUGGGAC
rnacentral:piRNA from 1 species